AUUUACAUAAUUCAAGUAAGAAUAUCGCAUUGAAGCUGCGGAAGUGAUAAUACUAUCUGUAAAUG
rnacentral:tRNA from 1 species